UACGGAAGGCAGCAGUGGGGAAUAUUGCACAAUGGGCGAAAGCCUGAUGCAGCUAUGCCGCGUGUAUGAAGAAGGCCUUAGGGUUGUAAAGUACUUUCAUCGGGGAGGAAAAAACAAAACUAAUAAUUUUAUUUCUUGACGUUACCCGAAAAAGAAGCACCGGCUAACUCCGUGCCAGCAGCCGCGGUAAUACGGAGGGUGCUAGCGUUAAUCAGAAUUACUGGGCGUAAAGAGCACGUAGGUGGUUUUUUUAAGUCAGAUGUGAAAUCCCUGGGCUUAACCCAGGAACUGCAUUUUGAAACUGAAAUACUAGAGUAUCGUAGAGGGAGGUAGAAUUCUAGGUGUAGCGGUGAAAUGCGUAGAUAUCUGGAGGAAUACCUGUGGCGAAAGCGGCCUCCUAAACGAAUACUGACACUGAGGUGCGAAAGCGUGGGGAGCAAACAGGGAUAGAUACC
rnacentral:rRNA from 1 species